rnacentral:rRNA from 1 species
CCCUUAGAUGUUCUGGGCCGCACGCGCGCUACACUGAUGCGUUCAACAAGUUUCCUUGGCCGAGAGGCCUGGGCAAUCUUCUUAAUAUGUAUCGUGAUAGGGAUAGAUUAUUGCAAUUAUUAAUCUUGAACGAGGAAUUCCUAGUAAACGCAGAUCAUCAAUCUGCGUUGAUUACGUCCCUGCCCUUUGUACACACCGCCCGUCGCACCUACCGAUUGGAUGUUCCGGUGAAGCCUCGGGAUGAGGACUGGUGCCUUUAUUGGCAUGAGUUGUUCAGAACUUGUCUAAACCUUAUCAUCUAGAGGAAGGUGAAGUCGUAACA